rnacentral:rRNA from 1 species
CACGUAGGGCGCGAGCGUUGUCCGGAAUUAUUGGGCGUAAAGAGCUCGUAGGCGGUCUGUCGCGUCUGCUGUGAAAACUCAGGGCUUAACCCUGAGCUUGCAGUGGGUACGGGCAGACUAGAGUGCGGUAGGGGAGACUGGAAUUCCUGGUGUAGCGGUGAAAUGCGCAGAUAUCAGGAGGAACACCGGUGGCGAAGGCGGGUCUCUGGGCCGUAACUGACGCUGAGGAGCGAAAGCAUGGGGAGCGAACAGG